GUGGCCAUAGCUCAACCGGCGGAGCACCUGGUUGUGGCCCAGGAGGCUGUGGGUUCAAGCCCCACUGGCCACCCCA
rnacentral:tRNA from 1 species